GCUUCUAUAGCUCAGCCGGUAGAGCGUGCGGCUGUUACACCAUUUCGAGCACUGAUGCUCGGUGUCUCUGCCACCGCAAGGUCGACGGUUCAAGCCCGUCUGGAAGCG
rfam:Chlamydomonas reinhardtii strain CC-503 cw92 mt+ CHLREscaffold_1120 genomic scaffold, whole genome shotgun sequence.